rnacentral:rRNA from 1 species
UACGUAGGGUGCGAGCGUUAAUCGGAAUUACUGGGCGUAAAGCGUGCGCAGGCGGUUCGUUGUGUCGGCGGUGAAAGCCCCGGGCUUAACCUGGGAAUGGCCGUUGAAACUGGCGAACUGGAGUGUGGCAGAGGGGGGUGGAAUUCCGCGUGUAGCAGUGAAAUGCGUAGAUAUCAGGAGGAACACCUGUGGCGAAAGCGGCUCACUGGACCACAACUGACGCUGAGGAGCGAAAGCGUGGGGAGCGAACAGG